rnacentral:rRNA from 1 species
UGCAUCACUACCAGAUGGACCUGCGUUGUAUUAGCUAGUAGGUGAGGUAACGGCUCACCUAGGCGACGAUACAUAGCCGACCUGAGAGGGUGAUCGGCCACACUGGGACUGAGACACGGCCCAGACUCCUACGGGAGGCAGCAGUAGGGAAUCUUCGGCAAUGGACGAAAGUCUGACCGAGCAACGCCGCGUGAGUGAAGAAGGUUUUCGGAUCGUAAAGCUCUGUUGUAAGAGAAGAACGGGUGUGAGAGUGGAAAGUUCACACUGUGACGGUAUCUUACCAGAAAGGGACGGCUAACUACGUGCCAGCAGCCGCGGUAAUACGUAGGUCCCGAGCGUUGUCCGGAUUUAUUGGGCGUAAAGCGAGCGCAGGCGGUUAGAUAAGUCUGAAGUUAAAGGCUGUGGCUUAACCAUAGUACGCUUUGGAAACUGUUUAACUUGAGUGCAGAAGGGGAGAGUGGAAUUCCAUGUGUAGCGGUGAAAUGCGUAGAUAUAUGGAGGAACACCGGUGGCGAAAGCGGCUCUCUGGUCUGUAACUGACGCUGAGGCUCGAAAGCGUGGGGAGCGAACAGGAUUAGAUACCCUGGUAGUCCACGCCGUAAACGAUGAGUGCUAGGUGUUAGGCCCUUUCCGGGGCUUAGUGCCGCAGCUAACGCAUUAAGCACUCCGCCUGGGGAGUACGACCGCAAGGUUGAAACUCAAAGGAAUUGACGGGGGCCCGCACAAGCGGUGGAGCAUGUGGUUUAAUUCGAAGCAACGCGAAGAACCUUACCAGGUCUUGACAUCCCGAUGCCCGCUCUAGAGAUAGAGUUUUACUUCGGUACAUCGGUGACAGGUGGUGCAUGGUUGUCGUCAGCUCGUGUCGUGAGAUGUUGGGUUAAGUCCCGCAACGAGCGCAACCCUUAUUGUUAGUUGCCAUCAUUCAGUUGGGCACUCUAGCGAGACUGCCGGUAAUAAACCGGAGGAAGGUGGGGAUGACGUCAAAUCAUCAUGCCCCUUAUGACCUGGGCUACACACGUGCUACAAUGGCUGGUACAACGAGUCGCAAGUCGGUGACGGCAAGCUAAUCUCUUAAAGCCAGUCUCAGUUCGGAUUGUAGGCUGCAACUCGCCUACAUGAAGUCGGAAUCGCUAGUAAUCGCGGAUCAGCACGCCGCGGUGAAUACGUUCCCGGGCCUUGUACACACCGCCCGUCACACCACGAGAGUUUGUAACACCCGAAGUCGGUGAGGUAACCUUUUAGGAGCCAGCCGCCUAAGGUGGGAUAGAUGAUUGGGGUGAAGUCGUAACAAGGUAGCCGUAUCGGAAGGUGCGGCUGGAUCACCUCCUUU